rnacentral:rRNA from 1 species
CUAACCUUAGGUGGAGCAUAACCUCGGGAAACCCAGAAUAAUACUCCAUAGAUCUUUGAGGCUGGAAUGCGCUUAGAUUGAAAGCUUCGGCGCCUAAGGAUGAGUCUACGGACUAUCAGGUAGUAGUCAGGGUAAAGACCUGACUAGCCUACGACGGAUACGGGUUGUGAGAGCAAUAACCCGGAGAUGAUAUCUGAGACACGAUAUCAGGCCCUACGGGGCGCAGCAGGCGCGAAAACUUCACAAUGCGCGAAAGCGCGAUGAGGGGAUCCCAAGUGCUUGCACGUAAGUGUAAGCUGUUUUUCUGUCUAAAAAGCAGAGAGAGUANUNNUUGGGUAAGACGGGUGCCAGCCGCCGCGGUAAUACCUGCAGCUCAAGUGGUGGCCGCUAUUAUUGGGCCUAAAACGUCCGUAGCCGGCUGAGUAAAUGCCUGGGUAAAUCGUGUGGCUUAACCAUACGAAUUCCGGGUAGACUGCUCAGCUUGGGACCGGAAGAAGUUAGAGGUACUCCUGGGGUAGGGGUGAAAUCCUGUAAUCCUGGGGGGACCACCAGUGGCGAAGGCGUCUAACUAGGACGGGUCUGACGGUGAGGGACGAAGCCCUGGGGCGCAAACCGGAUUAGAUACCCGGGUAGUCCAGGGUGUAAACGCUGCUUGCUUGAUGUUAGCUGGGCUCCCGAGCUCGGCUAGUUGUCGGAGAAGAAAUUUGUUAAAGCAAGCUGCCUUGGGNAA